UGUUAAUUUCGUAACACAACAAACAGUGUCUUCUGAAAUGUCAGUUUAAAAGUGAAAACUUGUGGAAAACACGAUCUAAGAAGCUCUAUACAUGGACGAUAAUAUAAAACGCGUUAUGAGAACGAUUAUAAACAAAACAGAAUUUCAAUGUGUUGGUUGGUACUUGGUAGUUAUGCAUGUUAUGGAGAGAUGGGGGAUCUUGUUGGAAAAAGAAAUCGAGAAAGACGUCAGGAUCUUUUGAGGUUUUUCAUCAUUUAAGCCCCUUGGAGAUCACAGAUCUGUAUGAAGAUGUGCGUCCGAAAAAUCUAGAUUUGGGGAUUCAUAAUUUCUAACAAUGUAGUUUGCACCUUAUUUUGGAUCUCUUGUGAUGUGUAAGAUGAAAAGUUCCAUCAAGAUAUCAGCAAAAUUGAAAAAGGACGAAGAGAUGGACUACAACGAAAGCUGUUAGUUUUUUCAACAUAUUAAAGAACAUCUAUAAAAGAAAAAUACAAUUUUAUACACAUUAUCCACUGAGGUUACAAUGCUAUCUUUCAAACCAACUAAAGAACAAGGUGGUAAAGUGGAUCGAGGAUGAAAUUUAUUUCCAUAUCAUUUACAUUUGAGAAUGGACUACCUACUUUUCGCCAUUAUUUUGCAGACAAAACAAGCUGGUGAAGUUAACUACAUUUUUAUGGUUUUCUUCUGCACGAGGGUGAGGAAAAAGUACUGCGUUCCAAGGAAAUAAAAACGCAAAACAAUAAAAAAUGUAUUUUUUUAAGGGUACCUAACACUUGAAAAACUGUAUUUAUGUAUAAUUGACUGAUUGUCUGCUUUGUAUACAGUUUCUCAUUUUUAGUGUCUUAUUAUUUGACAGAACAUAAGGAAGGGAAGAUUGAUACGAUGUGCGUAAUGCGGUCAAGAUAGUACAGGGGCGUAUUCAGCAAAAAUGUAUCUGAGUCAGUGAGAUGUUUACCAUUUAUUUGGAGAUCUUAUAUUGAAAAGAUGCUAUUAAGCUUUGUAAGAUAUUUAAUACUUUUUGGAGAUCAUGCUGCUGCAUACCUGAGAUGAGUUGAUAAUUUCAUAGCAGAGAUUGAGAAACAUUAGAAAAUUAUGAACUGGUGAGAAGUUGUCCUUUUUGGUUUUGGUCUUAUUAAACAAAAGAAAACUCUUGAAUUGAUUAUUUAUGGAGCGAAGAACUUCAAGAAUUACUGUUGUUGAAAUAAUGGAGAAUUACAUUCCCAUCAUUUUCUAUAAUAUGAUGCAUCGAGAAGAUUAUUUCAAGAUUCGAAAUGAAUUACAUGAAGGGUUUUCAAGAUUCACUGAAAUUACUCAAGGAAUUGAGAUUAUUCUUGAACUAUCACCAUUUAUACUUAAUAUUAUUGUAUAUUUAGCGUGUAAGCUUGGUAAAAAAAAAACAAUUUUUAAAGGUUACCAAAAUGAAAAGGACUAAGAGAAACUUUGCAAGAGUAUAUUAUUCAA